CUACGAGACGCUCCAGUGGGGGAUAUUGCACAAUGGAGGAAACUCUGAUGCAGCAACGCCGCGUGAGGGAAGAAGGUUUUCGGAUUGUAAACCUCUGUUUUUAGUGAAGAAAAAAAUGACGGUAGCUAAAGAGGAAGCCACGGCUAACUACGUGCCAGCAGCCGCGGUAAUACGUAGGUGGCAAGCGUUGUCCGGAUUUACUGGGUGUAAAGGGUGCGCAGGCGGGACUGCAAGUUGGAUGUGAAAAUCUGAGGCUCAACCUCAGAACUGCAUCCAAAACUGUGGUUCUUGAGUGGAGUAGAGGUAAGCGGAAUUCCGAGUGUAGCGGUGAAAUGCGUAGAUAUUCGGAGGAACACCAGUGGCGAAGGCGGCUUACUGGGCUCUAACUGACGCUGAGGCACGAAAGCAUGGGUAGCAAACAGGAUUAGAUACCCCGGUAGUC
rnacentral:rRNA from 1 species